rnacentral:tRNA from 1 species
UUAAUAGAAGCUAUUUAGCGCUUUAUUGUUAUUAAAGAGAUAGGGAUAGGUGUCUCCUGUUAAG